UGGGGAAUAUUGGACAAUGGGCGCAAGCCUGAUCCAGCCAUGCCGCGUGAGUGAUGAAGGCCCUAGGGUUGUAAAGCUCUUUCACCGGUGAAGAUAAUGACGGUAACCGGAGAAGAAGCCCCGGCUAACUUCGUGCCAGCAGCCGCGGUAAUACGGAAGGUUCGGGCGUUAUCCGGAUUUAUUGGGUUUAAAGGGAGCGUAGGCCGUUUGGUAAGCGUGUUGUGAAAUGUAGGAGCUCAACUUCUAGAUUGCAGCGCGAACUGUCAGACUUGAGUGCGCACAACGUAGGCGGAAUUCAUGGUGUAGCGGUGAAAUGCUUAGAUAUCAUGAAGAACUCCGAUUGCGAAGGCAGCUUACGGGAGCGCAACUGACGCUGAAGCUCGAAGGUGCGGGUAUCGAACAGG
rnacentral:rRNA from 1 species